rnacentral:rRNA from 1 species
GACGAACGCUGGCGGCGUGCUUAACACAUGCAAGUCGAACGAAAAGAGGGAAAGAGCUUGCUCUUUCCGGAAUUGAGUGGCAAACGGGUGAGUAACACGUAAACAACCUGCCUUCAGGAUGGGGACAACAGACGGAAACGACUGCUAAUACCGAAUAAGUUCCAAGAGCCGCAUGGCCCAUGGAAGAAAAGGUGGCCUCUACCUGUAAGCUAUCGCCUGAAGAGGGGUUUGCGUCUGAUUAGCUGGUUGGAGGGGUAACGGCCCACCAAGGCGACGAUCAGUAGCCGGUCUGAGAGGAUGAACGGCCACACUGGAACUGAGACACGGUCCAGACUCCUACGGGAGGCAGCAGUGGGGAAUCUUCCGAAAUGGGCGAAAGCCUGACGGAGCAACGCCGCGUGAGUGAUGACGGCCUUCGGGUUGUAAAACUCUGUGAUCCGGGACGAAAAGGCAGAGUGCGAAGAACAAACUGCAUUGACGGUACCGGAAAAGCAAGCCACGGCUAACUACGUG